AAGCUCGAUGCGCUACGCCGCCUGAUGGAUGGCUCGGCUCGGGCGCCGAAGAAGGGCGUGGCAAGCUGCGAUAAGCCCCGGGUAGGCGCAUGCAGCCUUCGAUCCGGGGAUUCCCGAAUGGGACUUCCUGCCGUGAUAAACUCACGGCGCUCCCUUUUGGGAGCGGGAACCCCCCGAACGGAAACAUCCAAGUAGGGGGAGGAGAAGAAACCAACAUGGGAUUCCCUGAGUAGCGGCGAGCGAAAGGGGAAAAGCCCAAACCGAAGCUAAACGGGAAACCGUUUAGAAAUGUGGAGUAGAAGGGACCGACCGCACCCCCUCUCGCGAAGCCGAAGUGGCCUGGAAUGGCCCGACAUAGAGGGUGAAAUCCCCGUAGGCGUAAGCGAGAUGGGUUUGGGUCGGUAUCCCUGAGUACCACGCCUUUGCUCUGGCGUGGGAAGCUGGGAGAAAACAACUUCCAAGGCUAAAUACGUCCCGAGACCGAUAGCGUACUAGUACCGUGAGGGAAAGCUGAAAAGUACCCCGGAAGGGGGGUGAAAAGAGCCUGAAAUCAGGCGGUUACAGACGUGCGUGGUCCGAAAGGGUAGAUCCCUUCCAAAGGAAACCGUGGUGACACGGGAGUACGAGGAAGGGGGACCAGGAUCACGCGUUCCGUUUUGUACCACGGGCCGGGGAGUUCAUCCCCGUGGUGAGGCUAAGGGGGUUAAACCCGAAGCCGUAGGGAAACCGAUAUGCCCGCAGCAUCCAUUAAGGGUGCGAGGGGCAAGGUCUGAAAGGGCCUGGAAUCACGGGGAUGAAACUAGAAACCGGGCGAUCUAGCCCUGGGCAGGGCGAAGCCAGGCGAAAGCCUGGUGGAGGCCCGAAAGGGUGCUGACGUGCAAUUCGUUCCCCAGACCUGGGGCUAGGGGCUAAAGACCAAUCUAGCCCGGUGAUAGCUAGUUCCCGCCGAAAUAUCUCGCAGGAUAGCCCGGCCAGAGGUGGCUGAUGGGGUAGAGCACUAAUUGGGAAGCAAGGGGUCGAAAGGCUCCACUUCCCAGUUAAACUCCGAAUCCAUCAGCACCGUAGAAGGCCGGAGACGGGCGUGGGGGGUAAGCUCCCACGUCGCGAGGGGAACAACCCAAACUAGGGUUAAGGCCCCAAAAUCCUGGCUAAGUGCAGAAAUGGAAGGAGGUCCUCAGCCUAAGACAGCUGGGAGGUAGGCUUAGAAGCAGCCAUCCUCUAAGCAGUGCGUAACAGCUGACCAGCCGAGGCUGAGGGCGCCGAAAAUGGACGGGGCUAAGCCAGGUGCCGAUACCCUAGGUUGCAGCUCAUAUGAGCUGCAGCGGUAGGCGGGCGUUGCGGUUGGGCGGAAGCUGGGCCGUAAGGUCCAGUGGACCGACCGCAAGUGCAGAUCCCGGCGGUAGUAGCAGCGAAGAGGGGUGAGAAUCCCCUCCGCCGUAGGGGCCAGGGUUCCCCGGCAAUGCGUCGUCAGCCGGGGGUAAGUCGGUCCUAAGGUGGCCCUUAACCGGAGCCACCGAAAGGGAAGCUGGUUAAUAUUCCAGCACCGCGGAGAUACGUGCGGCAACGCAAGCCUGCAACCUGACGCUUCAGGAUAGGUUGAGUGGGGCCGUCGCCCCAUUUAACCGCUGAAACCCAGGAAGUGCCGUAAUGGCGAGAACUGGGUGAAGGCGGGAAUAGCCGCCCGUUUUUAGGGUGGUUCAACCGAUUCCUGGAGCCACGGAAAAAGGUUGCAGGAAGGAUUCUCCGCGCCCGUACCUAGAACCGACACAGGUGCCCCUAGGUGAGAAGCCUCAGGCGUAUCGGGUGGAACCCGGGCGAGGGAACUCGGCAAAUUGGCCCCGUAACUUCGGGAUAAGGGGUGCCUGAAACUCUAACCUUAAGGUUGGGGUUUCAGGUCGCAGUGACAAGGGGGGCGCGACUGUUUAAUAAAAACAUAGGUGGCCGCUAGCCCGAAAGGGUUUGUACGGCCAUUGAGUCCUGGCCAGUGGCGGUACCUGAAACCCGGGUUCAACCGGGCUAAGGGCCGCUAAACGCCGGGAGUAACUCUGACUCUCUUAAGGUAGCCAAAUGCCUUGUCGGGUAAGUUCCGACGUGCAUGAAUGGAUUAACGACGUCCCCGCUGUCCCCGCCCGGGGCCCGGCGAACCCACAUAACUUGGACGAACAGUCCAGGGUCUCCCAGCGGGGCGAGAAGUCCCCGUGGAGUUUUACUGCAGCCUGUCGCUGGGGUGCGGUUGUGGGUACAGAGCGUAGGUGGGAGCCGUCGAGGCCAGCCUCUCCGGGGGCUGGUGGAGGCGCCAAUGGAACACCACCUACCCAUGACUGCAUCCCUAACCAAGCGUAAGCUUGGGACAACGGCAGGUGGGCAGUUUGGCUGGGGCGGCACCCCCUUGAAAAGAUAUCAAGGGGGCCCUAAGCUCGGCUCAUCCGGGACAGAAACCCGGAGUAGAGGGCAAGGCCAAAAGCCGGGCUGACUGGAUCCUCCAAAGCAAGGGAUCCAGAGGCGAAAGCCGGGCCUAGCGAUCAUUCAUGUCCCCAUUGUUGGGGGCUGGAUGUGACAGAAAAAUUACCCCGGGAGUAAUUGGCUCGUCUCCCCCGAGAGUCCCCAUCGACGGGGAGGAUUGGUACUCCGCCGUCGUCCGUUCCCAUCCUGGGUCUGCAGCAGGACCCAAGGGUGCGGCUGUUCGCCGAUUAAAGGGGAAUCCGAGAUGGGUUUAGUCCGUCGCGAGACAGGACGGAUUCUACCUGCUGGGAGUGCUGGCCGCCUGAGGGGAAGGCGCCCCUAGUACGAGAGGAACGGGGUGUCGCAGCCUCUAGUUUACCGGUUGUCCGACAGGGCACUGCCGGGCAGCCACGCUGUUGGGGAUAAGAGCUGAAAGCAUCUAAGCCCGAAGCCCCUCCCGAAAAUAGGCGGCCGUUCCAGCUCGUUUCUAGACCUGGCAACAGGCCUAGAGAGCUGGAGGAGGGCACCCAUAGAAGAUGGGGUUGAUGGAGCAGGGGUGUACGCGCCAAGGCUUCGGCCGAGGCGUUUAGCCCGCUGCCCCCAAUAGCCCAACGUAUCGAGCUG
rnacentral:rRNA from 1 species